rnacentral:misc_RNA from 1 species
GAUGAAGAACGCAGCGAAAUGCGAUAAGUAGUGUGAAUUGCAGAAUUCAGUGAAUCAUCGAAUCUUUGAACGCACAUUGCGCCCCUUGGUAUUCCAUGGGGCAUGCCUGUUCGAGCGUCAUUUGUACCUUCAAGCCUUGCUUGGUGUUGGGUGUUUGUCUCGCCUCUGCGCGCAGACUCGCCUUAAAACAAUUGGCAGCCGGCGUAUUGAUUUCGGAGCGCAGUACAUCUCGCGCUUUGCACUCAGAACGACGACGUCCAAAAGUACAUUUUUACACUCUUGACCUCGGAUCAGGUAGGGAUACCCGCUGAACUUAAGCAUAUCAAUAAGCGGAGGA